rnacentral:rRNA from 1 species
AGUGAACGCUGGCGGUAGGCCUAACACAUGCAAGUCGAACGGCAGCACAGUAAGAGCUUGCUCUUACGGGUGGCGAGUGGCGGACGGGUGAGGAAUACAUCGGAAUCUACUUUUUCGUGGGGGAUAACGUAGGGAAACUUACGCUAAUACCGCAUACGACCUACGGGUGAAAGCAGGGGAUCUUCGGACCUUGCGCGAUUGAAUGAGCCGAUGUCGGUUUAGCUAGUUGGCGGGGUAAAGGCCCACCAAGGCGACGAUCCGUAGCUGGUCUGAGAGGAUGAUCAGCCACACUGGAACUGGGACACGGUCCAGACUCCUACGGGAGGCAGCAGUGGGGAAUAUUGGACAAUGGGCGCAAGCCUGAUCCAGCCAUACCGCGUGGGUGAAGAAGGCCUUCGGGUUGUAAAGCCCUUUUGUUGGGAAAGAAAAGCAGCAGGUUAAUACCCCGCUGUUCUGACGGUACCCAAAGAAUAAGCACCGGCUAACUUCGUG